CACGGAGUUAGCCGAUCCUUAUUCUUACGAUACCGUCAAGCUGCUUCACGAAGCAGUGUUUCUUCUCGUACAAAAGCAGUUUACAAUCCAUAGGACCGUCAUCCUGCACGCGGCAUGGCUGGAUCAGGCUUGCGCCCAUUGUCCAAUAUUCCUCACUGCUGCCUCCCGUAGGAGUCUGGUCCGUGUCUCAGUACCAGUGUGGGGGAUCUCCCUCUCAGGACCCCUACCCAUCGUUGCCUUGGUAAGCCGUUACCUUACCAACUAGCUAAUGGGACGCAUGCUCAUCUUUUACCGUUGUGACUUUAAUAGUACUACCAUGCGGUAGAACUAUACUAUGAGGUAUUAAUCCAAAUUUCUCUGGGCUAUCCCUCUGUAAAAGGUAGAUUGCAUACGCGUUACGCACCCGUGCGCCGGUCUCUCUAUCCGAAGAUAAAUACCCCUCGACUUGCAUGUGUUAAGCCUGCCGCUAGCGUUCAUCCUGAGCCAGGAUCAAA
rnacentral:rRNA from 1 species